rnacentral:sRNA from 1 species
AUGCCGUUUAUUAUCAUGCUGGAUGAAGAUGAAAAUGGAUAUAAAGCGGGUCGAUUUUUAAGAGCGAGUGACUUAGGUCAAACAACAGAGCAAGGCGAAUGGAAGCCAGUUAUUCAUGAUGCAAUCAGCGAUAGUUUAGUAGUACCUAAUGGCACAAUGGGUCAACGUUGGGAAG